rnacentral:RNase_P_RNA from 1 species
UGGAGCGAAAGCGCAACUGACGGUAUCUACAGAAUGUAGAAGCUGAGGAAGAUCCCGACUAUGUGUCGACGCUAGUCCAGCGAGAGCUGGAUGGUGAGAACCAUGCUCUGGAAACAGAAACGACACGCCCAGAUAGAAUAUGACAAUGAUACAGGUCUACCUGUUGAGGAUUUAUCUGGAUACGAUGAAACGGUCCAUCACUACAUAGCAAUUCCAAGAAUAGGUUGAUGAUUUGUCGACAUGAAACCUAGGGUAGGAAGCUUAGUUAGAUGUUGCAAGGAAUUCAAUGGGUAACCUUGAAUUCGGAACAAAAUCGGGGCUACUCUUCGGACCA